rnacentral:rRNA from 1 species
GAUGAACGCUGGCGGCGUGCUUAACACAUGCAAGUCGAACGGUGAAGCAGAGCUUGCUCUGUGGAUCAGUGGCGAACGGGUGAGUAACACGUGAGCAAUCUGCCCCUGACUCUGGGAUAAGCGCUGGAAACGGCGUCUAAUACCGGAUACGAGCUGCGAAGGCAUCUUCAGCAGCUGGAGAGAAUUUCGGUCAGGGAUGAGCUCGCGGCCUAUCAGCUUGUUGGUGAGGUAACGGCUCACCAAGGCGUCGACGGGUAGCCGGCCUGAGAGGGUGACCGGCCACACUGGGACUGGGACACGGCCCAGACUCCUACGGGAGGCAGCAGUGGGGAAUAUUGCACAAUGGGCGAAAGCCUGAUGCAGCAACGCCGCGUGAGGGACGACGGCCUUCGGGUUGUAAACCUCUUUUAGCAGGAAAGAAGCGAAAGUGACGGUACCUGCAGAAAAAGCGCCGGCUAACUACGUGCCAGCAGCCGCAGUAAAAC